GCGGCAGGCCUAAUACAUGCAAGUCGAACGGGAUUUGGGUAGCAAUAUCCAAUGAGAGUGGCGCACGGGUGAGUAACGCGUAUGCAACCUACCUUUAACAGGGGAAUAGCUCCGAGAAAUCGGGAUUAAUGCCUCAUAGCAUCUAGAAAUUUCAUGGUUUUUAGAUUAAAGCUCCGGCGGUUAAAGAUGGGCAUGCGUGCCAUUAGCUAGUUGGUGAGGUAACAGCUCACCAAGGCGAUGAUGGCUAGGGGUUCUGAGAGGACUAUCCCCCACACUGGUACUGAGACACGGACCAGACUCCUACGGGCGGCAGCAGUAAGGAAUAUUGGGCAAUGGACGCAAGUCUGACCCAGCCAUGCCGCGUGCAGGAUGACAGCCUUAUGGGUUGUAAACUGCUUUUAUCAGGGAAUAACCGCUCGUACGUGUACGAGUCUGAAUGUACCUGAAGAAUAAGCACCGGCUAACUCCGUGCCAGCAGCCGCGGUAAUACGGAGGGUGCAAGCGUUAUCCGGAUUUAUUGGGUUUAAAGGGCGCGUAGGCGGAUAGGUAAGUCAGUGGUGAAAUCCUACAGCUCAACUGUAGAACUGCCAUUGAUACUGUCUAUCUUGAGUGUAAAUGAAGUGGGCCGGAUGUAACAUGUACCGGUGAAAUGCAUAGAUAUGCUACAGAACACCAAUUGCGAAGGCGCUU
rnacentral:rRNA from 1 species